rnacentral:rRNA from 1 species
UGGGGAAUAUUGGACAAUGGGCGAAAGCCUGAUCCAGCCAUGCCGCGUGUGUGAAGAAGGUCUUCGGAUUGUAAAGCACUUUAAGUUGGGAGGCAGGGCAUUAACCUAAUACGUUAGUGUUUUGACGUUACCGACAGAAUAAGCACCGGCUAACUCGGUGCCAGCAGCCGCGGUAAUACAGAGGGUGCAAGCGUUAAUCGGAAUUACUGGGCGUAAAGCGCGCGUAGGUGGUUUGUUAAGUUGGAUGUGAAAUCCCCGGGCUCAACCUGGGAACUGCAUUCAAAACUGACUGACUAGAGUAUGGUAGAGGGUGGUGGAAUUUCCUGUGUAGCGGUGAAAUGCGUAGAUAUAGGAAGGAACACCAGUGGCGAAGGCGACCACCUGGACUAAUACUGACACUGAGGUGCGAAAGCGUGGGGAGCAAACA